rnacentral:lncRNA from 1 species
GGAAGUUUUAUGGGUUACAGGUUUUACAUGCAAUCAGACCCAAACACCAGUUUGUGGCCUUGUCUAUUUUACUGCUUUCUGCUUACUUCUGUAUUAAAACUUAAUAUUUUUGUGCUUUUGUAGAACCUACUGCCCGUUUUCCCUGGACGAGAAGGGUGGUGUCUCAAGGGGAGGCCAGAAAUUGUCUCUGGGGACUUGGAUGCUGUUUCUGCUUGAGGAUCUCUCUGCCAUAGGACAAGUAUUUUACUCAGCCUUGUCCCUCAGUCACUGCCUGUGAGAUGAAGGGAUCUUUAUAUAUCUGUGAGAUAUGUGACCAGCUGACAGACCCUCUGCCAAUUAUCAGGUGGAUUUAUUUUCUCCACAAAUUGCAUCUUUGCCAUGAGCAGCCUGUGACUUCAGCCCCUGCGCCCUCAGAGCUUCUCAGUGCAGCUAGAAGUCUGACAGCUAUUCUGAAUGUCCUGAAGUCUA